rnacentral:rRNA from 1 species
AUUGAACGCUGGCGGAAUGCUUUACACAUGCAAGUCGAACGGCAGCACGGACUUCGGUCUGGUGGCGAGUGGCGAACGGGCGAGUAAUGUAUCGGAACGUGCCCAGUCGUGGGGGAUAACGUAGUGAAAAUUACGCUAAUACCGCAUAAGAUCUAUGGAUGAAAGCGGGGGAUCGCAAGACAUCGCGCGAUUGGAGCGGCCGAUAUCAGAUUAGGUAGUUGGUGGGGUAAAGGCCCACCAAGCCAACGAUCUGUAGCUGGUCUGAGAGGACGAGCAGCCACACUGGAACUGAGACACGGUCCAGACUCCUACGGGAGGCAGCAGUGGGGAAUUUUGGACAAUGGGCGAAAGCCUGAUCCAGCCAUUCCGCGUGCAGGAUGAAGGCCCUCGGGUUGUAAACUGCUUUUGUACAGAACGAAAAGGUUUCUACUAAUACUAGGAGCUCAUGACGGUACUGUAAGAAUAAGCACCGGCUAACUACGUGCCAGCCGCCGCCGUAA